UGUCCUGAGAGGUCAGAUUGCUGUCAGACAUGGCCCAUGGACAUGAACAUGAACAUGGUCCUAGUAAAAUGGAACUUCCAGAUUAUAAACAAUGGAAGAUAGAAGGGACACCAUUGGAAACUAUCCAGGAGAAACUGGCUGCACGAGGACUAAGGGAUCCAUGGGGCCGCAAUGAAGCUUGGAGAUACAUGGGUGGCUUUGCAAAUAAUGUUUCCUUUGUUGGAGCAUUAUUAAAAGGAUUCAAGUGGGGAUUUGCUGCAUUUGUGGAAGCUGUAGGGGCUGAAUAUUACCUGGAGUCCCAGAAAAAAGAUAAGAAACAUCACUGAAGAUAAUACCUGGAAAUAUCUUUUAAUGUCGUAACUUUCUUAUAAAAAGAUUUCUUCACUGUAGCCUACUCACCUGUGUGUUUAUUCCUUAAGGAAUACUAGUAAGAUUUAAUAAAAUACGAAAACAUGU